rnacentral:rRNA from 1 species
AGAGUUUGAUCCUGGCUCAGAUUGAACGCUGGCGGCAGGCCUAACACAUGCAAGUCGAGCGGUAGAGAGAAGCUUGCUUCUCUUGAGAGCGGCGGACGGGUGAGUAAUGCCUAGGAAUCUGCCUAGUGGUGGGGGAUAACGUUCGGAAACGGACGCUAAUACCGCAUACGUCCUACGGGAGAAAGCGGGGGAUCUUCGGACCUCGCGCCAUUAGAUGAGCCUAGGUCGGAUUAGCUAGUUGGUGAGGUAAUGGCUCACCAAGGCGACGAUCCGUAACUGGUCUGAGAGGAUGAUCAGUCACACUGGAACUGAGACACGGCCCAGACUCCUACGGGAGGCAGCAGUGGGGAAUUUUGGACAAUGGGCGCAAGCCUGAUCCAGCAAUGCCGCGUGCAGGAAGAAGGCCUUCGGGUUGUAAACUGCUUUUGUCAGGGAAGAAAUCUUCUGGGCUAAUACCUCGGGAGGAUGACGGUACCUGAAGAAUAAGCACCGGCUAACUACGUGCCAGCAGCCGCGGUAAUACGUAGGGUGCGAGCGUUAAUCGGAAUUACUGGGCGUAAAGCGUGCGCAGGCGGCUUUGCAAGACAGAUGUGAAAUCCCCGGGCUCAACCUGGGAACUGCAUUUGUGACUGCAAGGCUAGAGUACGGCAGAGGGGGAUGGAAUUCCGCGUGUAGCAGUGAAAUGCGUAGAUAUGCGGAGGAACACCAAUGGCGAAGGCAAUCCCCUGGGCCUGUACUGACGCUCAUGCACGAAAGCGUGGGGAGCAAACAGGAUUAGAUACCCUGGUAGUCC